rnacentral:rRNA from 1 species
UACGUAGGGGGCUAGCGUUGUCCGGAUUUAUUGGGCGUAAAGAGCGUGUAGGCGGCCCGGUAAGUCCGCUGUGAAAGUCGGGGGCUCAACCCUCGAAUGCCGGUGGAUACUGUCGGGCUAGAGUGCGGAAGAGGCGAGUGGAAUUCCUGGUGUAGCGGUGGAAUGCGCAGAUAUCAGGAGGAACACCGAUGGCGAAGGCGGAUCUCUGGGCCUUACCUGACGCUGAGGCGCGAAAGCUAGGGGAGCGAACAGG